CACAAGUUCAGAGAGCAGGACAACGCGCAGCAAUGGUUCCCCACAGGGGGCAACUACACUCUCACACGCCUGUCCCAUCCCCGCUGGGACACUAGGCCACGACUGGGGGAAGCGGGAGGGAGAAUGUUAACCCCCUGGCAUGUAUCUAGUCAGCGGAGGCGACGGAUGUUGCUAAACACCUUACAAUCCACCGCGGGAGGGCCCCUCCCCCACCCCGAAGUAGCAAUUCUGCGGAGGUGGAGAAACUCGGUUGUAGAUCAAUGCCCACGCACUUGCCCGAUGGUAAAUCACGAGUUGGUGACCAAUUGGAUUUUGGAUCUGAGGAAAAAACUCCAGCGUCAGAGGGAACUCUGGAAGUUUUGCCCGGAGCAAACGGAAGGGUGGCGUUGCCAUCGCCUAAAAUGGGAAAAUGGCAGGUGUCACAGGUUGCAGGGGAAGGUGGGAGACCAGGUGAGGGCCCCGGAUCCUUCCCGGAAAGAGUUUCCCAUGCAGCCCGUCUCGGUUUCCGCAUCCGUCUGAUUCCUUAUGAUGUUGAGGGUGCCGGGGUCUGGGUCCUUUAUGAUGCAGAGGGUAUCCCCGUCUCACCCCGGGCCCCUCCCCGCUCCCGCCUCCUCCUGGCAACCUGGUGCGCGGCUCCGGCCCUGGCGACCCGCGACCGUCUCGUCAUUCGCUGCCGCCUCGCAAAGGCGCAUCUCUAGGCCAGUGGUGAGCUGCGGCCGGGUUGCUGCAACUCGCUCCAGGACUCGGGACUCGUGGCCUUGGUGUCCCUCGCGGAGCCCUGGGUGUGUCGCCUGCGGGCUCUUUGAAGAAAGUAGGGAGGGAAAAGCCUUGUGAGACGACUCCAGAAGCAAAGAGCAACCCUUACAAGGCCCACGUCCUCCCAGAGCACAGGGGAACUGUCGCCUCAGACGGAAGAAGGAAGAGAAAGCAGCCUCGUGUGUCUCCCUGGUGGUCUAGUGGCUAGGAUUCGGCGCUUUCACCGCCGCGGCCCGGGUUCGAUUCCCGGUCAGGGAAUUGUUUUGCAUUGGUCGCACUCCCACAGGAAUCUUUCUUUACUACGCUGUCAGCCAGCCUGCUCCAAGGGCCAGAUGCAGAACAGUCUCCGCAGCGAGGGGCAAACCCCAGCGAAGAAGGGCGAGUCCUGGUGGACCAGCUCUCACGUUUAUCUCCGUGUCUGUCAUCCGCUGAAGAGGUUUUAGAGAGCGCCUGAGCGUCUCGCUCAGGUGUACACAGCCGUGCAGAGGUGCCAGCCCCCGUGAAGUUGUACCCAAUAAGGCCAUCCUCUUUGCCGUCGCCGCCCCGGAGGCACCUAUGGGGCUGAGCUGUGAAUAACUGAGAGGCCAAACCAAGUCGUGUUGUUUGUGCGUGCCCUGGACAUGGGCACGGGCCAGUCAGCUGAGCCUCCUCACCUCCCUUCGCAGCUAACGUGCUCGUUAGGCCGUCGGAAGAGGUGACUGGAGGCGAUGCCGCGAAGUUGGGAGUUGGGUGAGCGGCAGGUGAGGUCCUGGAGGGCGGUGCCGUUUGCUGAUUGAGCGGCAGAGGGAGGCGAUGUUCCCUGAGCCAACAAAGACAGCAGGUGGAGUAGGCACAAAUGGAAAACUGUUGCGGGUGCCCUAAGCGGAAGGCAGGUGUAAAAAUCAGCACUAGGACGUGGAAGCGAUGGUACCACAGUCAAAUCCCACAGUGUCUACACUCCACCAAGCACUUGCGCACGCUCCCCCUUUUCCAUUCAGUACUCCCAAGAGGGGUUUGGAAAAACCCCGCAUCCACUGUAAGCUCAGGGGAGAGCGGGAGCCAGGGAGGUGAAGUGCACAAACUGGGCAGAGGCGGCAGGCAGAACCUUGGGGGUGACAGGGCGCGGUGGCUGUGGGGCGGGAGCCGCUGCUGAAAGGCGGCCUGGGUUGUGGUGUGGGGUGACUGUCGGUGGAAUCUUUGGCGGAGAGUGGUUUGGAAGAAUGGCGAGGGGAGGCAGUGGGGAGGGUGACCCUGAGCGUUCGGCCAGGGCGAGGAGGCUGUGCUGUCCCUGCAGGGCAUGCGCUCAAUCCCACUUACCUGGCAGAGUAGAGACCGUGGUGACGAAGGGGGUUCUCCCAGAGUGAAGGUUCUUCAUCGCACUCUGGAGUUGCUGAUCCCUGUGAUUUCCUCAAUGUGGGAAACGGUGUUUGUGCUAGAAGAGGGCUGCCCUCUUUACCUAACAUAACGGGGUUCAAGACUGACAUCGCCUCACGCCUACCCAAAAACGUUUACGUGGCUUCCUCCUCUCUCUUUUUUUUCUGUUCUAAAGUCGCCUCAUCCUCACAUUCCCUCAUUUUUUUCUUCCACACUCGAGAGAGUCUCUCUCUCUCAUUAAAAGCUCCACCAAAUAUUUGAAAUAUCUCAA